rnacentral:rRNA from 1 species
CCAAUAGCGUCUAUUAAAGUUGUUGCAGUUAAAAAGCUCGUAGUUGAAUUUUAGGCCUGGCCGGACGGUCCGUCUUUGGCGAGUACUGUUCUGUUGUCGGGUCUUCCUUCUGGGUAACCAAUAUGUCCUUAAUUGGGUGUGUUGGGGAGCCAGGACCAUUACCUUGAAAAAAUUAGAGUGUUUAAAGCGGGCUAUUGCUUGAAUAGAUAAGCAUGGAAUAAUAGAAUAGGACGUUGUGGUUCUAUUUUGUUGGUUUCUAGGACCACCGUAAUGAUUAAUAGGGAUAGUUGGGGGCAUUAGUAUUCAAUUGUCAGAGGUGAAAUUCUUGGAUUUAUUGAAGACUAACUAUUGCGAAAGCAUUUGCCAAGGAUGUUUUCAUUAAUCAAGAACGAAAGUUAGGGGAUCGAAGACGAUCAGAUACCGUCGUAGUCUUAACCAUAAACUAUGCCGACUAGGAAUCGGGCGACGUUAUUUUCACGACUCGCUCGGCGCCUUAUG